AAUUAUUCAGCAAGCCCACAAUUCAUUUACCCUUCAAAUAUAUUUACCCAACCCAAUUCACAUAUCCAAUAUCCAAUCCAAUUGACAAAAAAUUCCCAAAAUCUGAAAUUGAAUCAAAAAUUCCCAAAAUAAAAACUCCCCAAAAUCUGCUCGGCGCCUCGACGUGCUCAUCAGUCCACAGUCGUCGCCACUGACCUCAGCGUCGUCUUCUUCAGGUCAGUGGCCACUCACCUCCGCCCUUCUGCCCGUCUGCCGUGCCUGUUCCUCGCCAGUCGCCUCCAACCACCGAUUCCCAAAAUCUUUGAGAAGUCGUUCGAAGUCUAGUCUAGUCUAGUCUGCAGCUCUUCCUCAGCUCUUCUGCUCUUGAGUUGCCUCUUCAGUGACUCAGUCUUCGUUCAAUUGUUCUUCAGUAAGGGGGCAUGAAGAUGAAUACAAAGCGAAAUUGCAGAGAACCAACGCCUUUUUCCAAUGCUUCAAAUUUAUCAAAUCCAGGUAUAUCUUAAUCUAAUUUUAAUUCUUAUUUUGGGUUUAAUAUUUUCAAAUCUGUCAAAUAACUUGUAUUUUUCGAAUAUUAACACUUGUUCAGCGAUUUUAUUUUUUUAAUCUCCAACUCUAUUAUAUAAAUCGACUCGAAUAUUAAAUUUGAUGAAUUUAUCUUAUUGCCAUCGCAUCCAACUCGUUUAGAAAUAACAGUAGGAAAUCAAAUUGAUUUUAUUCCUGAGAUUCGAGUGUGGGUGGAAGUCAUUGAGUUAUUAUGAAUUAAAAUUGCAUUUCAUAUAAAUUUUUAUUUGCGAAUUAAUUUUUUUUUUAAUUUCUUUUUCAAGUGUCUGUUUGCGAAUUGAAUAAUAAAACUUUAAGCAAUCAUUGAGUAACCAAUUUACAGAUUCCUCUAAUUUUUAUUUUGCAGAUUUAUGUGUUUCUUAAGUUUGAAUGUUUUGGAGCCGAACAUUCUGAUUGUUUUCUUCUUCCGGCCAGGAAAACACCAUCAAUGGAAUCAAUAGAUUCUUCUGGAGAGGAGGAAGAGUAAGGUUUCCUUAUAUAACCUUGCACAUGGGUGUGUUUCUACAUGCUUGCCUAUUAAAAUCAUUUCAAUUUUUAUAUGUUACACAUUUUUCCUGAGCACAGUGGAGAUCUAGUUUACAUGAUAAUAUUUGUCUUUUCUCUUUCAGAAUUAUCUUGCUUCGUGAGAAGAAAGUUUGUUUGUUAAUACAAUUAUUUACUUUGAUAUUGAGAUUGGUAGAAAGACAAAAAAAAUAAAAAAUAAAAUGCUGACUCCUCAAUUUUAAGAUUAAUUUGAGACAAACCCAACUCAUUUGAGAUUAAGAUUACUUUGGGGUUUACUGAUGGACAUGUCAAUUGGAAGAAUUUUAGGAAUUUUAGAUCUUGUAGUGGUGCACUUUGAAGGUGUUGGACAUAAUUUACAUGUGCCGUAUUGAAACCACGGCACAAACUUAAGUAUACACAAAGAACAAAAAAUGGUUAAUUAUAGCAAUCAUAUGGAAAAGUGUCAUUCUCCAAUGUUUUUGCAGUAUGAUUUAGCCUUUAUUAUGCUGCUAACUGAACUGAUUUUGAUGUCUCUUAAUGAGAUAUCAGUGCUUGAAUUGAUACUAGAAAUGUAGAACCUUAGUUGUGUGAGUCUUCUAGAAUGAUGUAUUGAGAUCGAAAGAUUUUGAGCUCCCAUGUAUUCACGUCUGUCCACUUCAAGAAUGGAUUUAGCCAGGUCCUCCUCGUGGUCGAAAAUUAUAUUAUGCAAAUGCAAAUGCAAAGAAGAAUGGAGUGGGAGAGAAAUGUAGAGACGUUUUAGGGAUUUAUUUAAUGUUUGCUAUUAAAUUUAUCUUCACAUACAAUUUAAAUUUAUCUUCAACAAUUAAUUGGUUGUUGUGGUUGAUGUUAAAUUUUGAUUUCAGGAUUAUGAGUUGUGAUGGUGGAAUUCUCAAAGUGCCGCAUUGUGUCAUUUCAUAAUUUUUGCUCAAGUCCUAUUUCUCAGGUGAGUGAUAGCUUGCCCUUGCUUAUUUAUAAACUAUUAAACUUAUAUUAAACUUAUAUGGUUAAGGCCUUGUCGGCUUAUUUGAUUGCAUUGUAGCAUUGCACCCUUGUCGGGUUAUAUAUUGACUUUUGUUAGAUUUAAUCGAAUGAUCAAUUGCAUAGGCGCACGUAGUCAUAUACCAUGGUGUCUACUAAAUAUGAUUCUAGAGCCAAAAAAAAAUAUUUUUUUUUUUCGGGGAGGGGGGCCUAAUUUAUGAAGUUCGCCUCAGGGCCUCGAAAGCAC
rnacentral:lncRNA from 1 species